GUACUAUCUUAGUCACUCAAUACCAAACACCCACUACAGGUACUAUCAUAGUCACUCAAUACCAAACACCCACUACAGGUACUAUCAUAGUCACUCGAUACCAAACACCCACUACAGGUACUAUCUUAGUCACUCAAUACCAAACACCCACUACAGGUACUAUCUUAGUCACUCAAUACCAAACACCCACCCACUAAAGGUACUAUCAGGAAUCACUCCUGAACACCAAAUGUAUAGGCAAGGCUCAACUUCCUCACUCUCUGUUUUAAACCAUGUGAAUGUUGUCUCAUUUUGAUGCUAGCCUCCUCUCCUUGGACUGCCCAGGUGUGGUGGGUAAGGUAACUGUGAG
ensembl:lncRNA